ACAAGACAAAGCUUUGAAGGUCACUGGGCCACAUCAGGUCCUGGUCUUCCUCAUAAAGACUUCACCUUGAUCAGCAUCUGCGCUGUGUUCUUCGUCCUCCUAGUCCUGAUUGGUGCUGUGUGCUGGAGAAAAAAGACUAAAAGUGAUGCUUCCCCUGAACGCCUGACGAUUUCUAAUCUCCUCUGGGCUGAAGAUGACGACGUAUAUACAUCUGUUAUUUUUGAAGAGGUUUAAAUUAAUGAUGCCAGUAUUUUAGUAUUUUACCCUCAAAACUGAACAUUUAAAAUGAAUUAUUAACUCAUGCGCACAGUUUACCUCACCUUUCCUGCGGUACCAGAAUAACUUUACAUUUUGUUUCUCAUGUUUUGCUGUAAUGUUCUGUCUCUCUUUACCAUAUUAUUUGAAUACUCUCACUCCAGUAUCUUCCGGUGGAAGUAAGAAUCAGACAUACAGCUCUGGUUCUCCCAUUCCAAUCUUCCAGGGACUCACCAACUCUGCACCUUCGUUUUUAACUACUCGCCUGCAAAGCCAACUUAGGUCCCUGAAUUCUGGGCUCUAGAUUUGUCCUCCUUUAAAAUCUAAACAUGCCUAUAAGGCUCAUCGCUGCUGCUUUAGUGUCCUGUAGUGCCCCUUAGUGGUUAAACUUCUGAAUUCUGCCCUGCAGUCACUCAGUUCUUUCCAUCAUGGUCUCAAGACUCACCUCUUCAGGCAACACCUAGAUUUAUACCGUAUUGCUUCUGUGCUUAACCUCUGCUGCAUCACUUUACACAGCACACUUACUUCAGCAGCCAAGCCAAGACUCAUAUGGUUUGAUAUGGUACCAGUUUGAAUGUGAGUUUUGUUAGUUUGUUUUUUGAGCCCAGAUUUUAAAAAGACAGUUUUAGUUUAACAGCCACUGAAACUACAGUAGGAAGCAGGGAAAUGUUGGUCUGUUAAUGCAAGACGCUGAAUAAAUAAUCAGACUCAUGCAUUUAGAAAGUCUAACGCAGUCUAACUCAUAUAUUUUCUCAGUAGAGGGAAACGUAGUGUGUGUAUAUAGUACAUUUAACAUGCGUGUGUU